AAAAACGAAAAAGAAACAAAGAGCGGAAGCAGAGAUAUCUUCGUUCUUCUCGCUAUAUAAGCCACACUCGUGCGUUUGCAUCUAAACCGACUAUCUCUCACGGACAAACCCUAGAUCUCUUGCAAGCAGCUCCGAACUAACCCUCAGACCAUGUCUGGGAUGUACGGUCAAGAAGGUGGCGAGUCGGCCCCUCCAAACUACGGAGCUAGCGGCGGCGCCGGAGGGUACGACGGAGGUGGCUAUGGCGGUGCUGGAGGUUACGGUGGUGGAGGUGGAUACGGAGGAAGUGGAAGCUCUGGUGGAGGCUACGGAGGAGGCAAUAGUGACGGUGGCUAUGGCGGUCGUGGCGGUCGCGGCGGCGGAGGAGGUCGAGGCGGUGGAGGUGGAGGAUACGGGGGAGGCGGAGGCGGAGGCGGAGGAUACGGUGGUAGAGGAGGUGGUGGAUACCUAGGAGGAGAUCGUGGUGGCCGAGGCGGUGGCCGAGGAGGAGGUGGGCGUGGUGGGAGCGGUGGGAGCGGCAGAGACGGCGAUUGGCUUUGCCCCAAUCCAGGUUGCGGGAAUUUGAACUUUGCAAGAAGAGUUGAAUGUAACAAAUGUGGUACACCGUCACCUGCGGGUGCUGGUGCUGGUGCGGGUGAUCGUGGUGGCAGUGGUGGUGGUGGUGGUUAUAAUAGAGGCGGAAGUGGUGGUGGAUAUGGUGGUAAUCGAGGUGGAAAUUAUGGAGGGGGUAGGGGUGGUGAGUACAAUGGCGGUAGAGCUGGUAGCAAUGAUGGUAGAGGGGGGGGAGGCAAUAGGGGUGGUUCUUAUGGAAAAGAAGAAGGUGGAUAUGGUCAGGCUCCUCCAGCAGCAGCCCAACCUUAUUAUGGAGGGGCUGGUGGGAACCAUCCGCCGCCUCAUAACUCAUAUAGUGAGAGCACAAAUUAUGGACUGGAUGCAGUUCCUCCACCUACAAACUUUGCUGGAGGGCCUGCAUCGUAUCCCCCAUCUUAUGGGGCCCCCCCUCCAGGUAGUUAUGGUGGUGAUGGUUUUGGGGAUGGAAGGGGUCGGGGCGGCCCAGCCAGUGGAUAUGAUGGUGGGCGUGGUGCUGGUGGUCGAGGUGGAUAUGGUGGUGCUCCUGCUGAGGACCCAGCUAAGGUGAGGCAGUGCGAUGAGAAUUGUGAUGAUUCUUGUGACAACUCUAGAAUCUACAUAUCAAAUUUGCCACCAGAUGUGACAACUGAAGAACUAAGGGAACUCUUUGGAGGCAUUGGACAAGUUGGAAGAAUCAAGCAAAAGAGGGGAUAUAAGGAUCAGUGGCCAUGGAAUAUAAAAUUAUAUACAGAUGAGAUGGGAAACAACAAAGGCGAUGGAGUUUUGUCCUUUGAAGAUCCGUCUGCUGCACAUUCAGCUGGCGGUUUUUUCAACAAUUAUGAAAUGAGGGGUUAUAAAAUCAAUGUUGCAAUGGCGGCAAUGUCUGCACCAAAGGCUCCGCCUGACAACAGGGGUGGUGGUAGAGGCGGCUAUGGAGGCGGAGACAGGCGUAGGGAUAAUUAUAGAGAUGGGUCUGGGCCUGACAGACAUCAGCAUGGUGGAAAUCGAUCACGUCCUUACUAAAGGAAUCUCAGCAUAAAGCAUUUUAUGUAACUAAUUAUGAUCUGAGAGAUUUUAUUGUGUUCCCAUCGCGUGAUACUUGAACUGGAGACUAAGAGAGACAAGUGGAUAAUCUCCAAAUUGCUUGCUGCUAAGGUAGGUUGAUAUUUUCAGUUUCGCUUUCGUCUACAACUAUUCAAUCCAAAAUAUCCAGUGGAGCCCCCUUAUUUCAAACCGUUCAGAAUCAAAGGUUUUGGAGCCGCCGCUGAACUGAGAAAGUAGCCGAAGGCAAUAGCACCAUCUCUUAACAGAGUAACUCGUUUACAAGCAGCCUAAAGAAAUGGCUUUACAAGCAUCAUCCUAUAGUCAUCAAUCUCUUUUAUCCUCGUGAUGGUUGUUCCACCUCAAGACUUAAAAAGUGAUUCUUCCUCCAAUUUUUUCUUUGUAAUGAACCAUCUUUCUUCAGUACUUUCUCUUGCUGUUAUGAGUAAAUGAAAUCUGAAGGGUAAAUAUAAGUUAGAAUUGGGCUGGCUCAAUAAUUA